AUGACUCAAAAUAAUGAAAACAAUCAAAUUAGACACUAGGAACUGCAAUGGACGGAAAUUGAAUUAAAAGACUAACAACAAUGAAAACUAACUAGAUAAUAUAAUUUAAUAAUGGGGGGUUUGGUUUUGACGAGAAGUAAAUUAAACUUAAAUAAAUUACAGAAUUGACAAAAACAUGAAAUUAAGGUGAAAUGAUAGGUGACGGACUAGCUAGAGGGUUCUUCUCCACACAUGACACAUAUGCAACCUAAAUUGAUUUUCAGUUGUUCUUUCAAUAAAUUGUAAAUCUCAAUACUUCAGAUUAACCGUGAACAACACUUUUUUAAUCUUCAAGUUUUCCUUAAGUUAUUGAAUUGGACGGAAAAACGCAUACAACAAUUCAAAACAUUCUUCAAAAGUCCCCUACGUGAAAAGCACAAUAGAGAUACAAUCAAAGAUCAUUAAACUUUGUGAAAACUAUAAGCAUUGACGAGGCAUUCGUAACUAUGAAAAGCAUGAUACUCUUGCCAAGAAUUCACUUAACACGAUUGUGACUAGCAACCUUCACUACUUGUGAAUAUAAGUUCAUAACGAUUAGGUGAAAUUCACUUAUAUUCUAGCAUCAAAUUCAUGCAUGUAAAUUAAGUAUGCAUUCUUAAUCGACAUACAAAAAAUAAGUUAUCAAUCAAGCAGUUAAGCAAAUUAAAUCACAACUCAGAAAUCACAACUGAAGGUAAUCAAUUCAUAUUACAAAUAUAUACAUGGCUUUGAAUUAACCUCUAGCCAAAAUAAAAUUAGUUACACAUUAUUAUCAAAUUAAACCAAAAGUUAAACAUGAAGUUGAGAAGAUAAAACCAAGAAAAUAGAGUGAAGCUUUGCUCUCUAUGCCCUGCUUGUUUCUGCUUCUGUGCCGUGGCCUGUUGACCUGCGCCUCUCUCCUCCCCUGCUGCUCUGUCCGCACAGUUUUCUGUGCUGCCCGUGCCUUCUCGGUUUUCUGCUGCCGCAAGGCAGCUGUCUCUUCGUCCAGCCCUCUCUCCCCCGCGUCAAUCUCUCCCCCCUAUUUUUCUCUGCGCCUGCCUUCUUAUUUCCUUCGUUUCUGCUUUUUUUCUUUUUUUUUUUAUUAAAGCUGCAAGGGCAGCUAAGCUGCCUCCUGAUCCUCUCUGCGCCUUGCGUCCCUGCUCAUUCCCCACGUCUAUUCCUUUUCUGCUGUCUGUCAGUCCCCCUGCUCUCCCUCCUUCCGCUUUUUCUCUCUGGCAGCCUUGCUGCCUUCCUGCCCGUUUCUGUCUCCUUUUUCCUGCUUUUCCUUUGCCGUGACUUUUAUAUCUCCCACAUGCCUUUAGCUUUUCUUUCCCUUAAGUCUUCCUUUCUUCUUCUUUUAUUCAAUUUCUUGAUAGUGUGCACUCCACUUCUCUCUUUCUCCUCACUGAUAUCCUCUCUUUUUGCCUAUUUUAUUCCUUCUUUUCCCCCCAAGGCACGCUGCAAAGCAGCUUGCUGCUUAUUAUUUUUCUUUCUAGUGGAAGAUGCUGAGCUGCCAAUUCCUCUAUCAUUUUGCUCCUAGAAACACAAUAUAGCAAAAGUAUCACAAAUCCUAUAAUACGUAAAAACAAGGUAAAUAGCUCAAAAAUAUAAGGAACUAACUAAGAAAAGACGAGUGAAUUUGAAGUAAAAAUAUAUAUAAAUAUGAUCCGAUCAAAUACCCCCACACUUAGCUUUUGCUAGUCCUCGAGCAAAACAAAGAGAACAUGAAAAGUAAUAACAUGAAAAACAUUAGUUUCCCCCUAUGUGACUCUCAUAGAAUUUCAUUCGAGAAAACAAAUCAUCAAGAACCAUAGCUAGCACCAAACAAACUAAUCCAAGUUCAUCUUCCUUAUUCAAAUAUUAGCAGUAAUCUUUGAAUCAUCCUUGAAGUGUAGUGUGUGAGAUAGCCAUGCUAAUACAAUUUCAAAUUUUUAUUUUUAAAAUCAUCAUAUGCAAACUAGCAACCUUCUCACAGGAUAUGCCCUCAAUCACACAUGUGUUUAGUUUUAAUGUGUUUCGCUCAAAGAAUCAAAUGUGAAAUUUCUACCAUAAACUUGCAUAAAGAUCACUUCUCCACAGUCAUAAUUGCAAAACUUAAAUCAAGAGGACUUUUAUUGGAUGUAAUGAGGCUUAGGGAUAGGGUUAUUGAAACGAAAGAAUAGGAAAACCCAAAUUCCAAGCUACAUUGCAAGCAAUUCUUUUCUUUAGAUUUAUAAGAACUCAAGCUCUCCAACGAUUCUUCUAGCACCUCCAACCACACCCUUAAACUGAAACUUGAACAACUUUUUAUUUUCUUUGUGUACAAUCUUUCUUUUUUUUUUUUUUUUUUUUUUUCACAAAACUAAAUACAAACAUGAAAUACCCCCACACUUAUUCUUUUGCCAAACACCUUCAAAAUACUUCACAAAUGUUUCUUAUAAGACAAUCUCGCAUUGCUCACUAGCUUGCUUGGAAAGGGUAAGGAAAAAUGUUUCAGGCAUAAGGGUAGACAUAUCUGGUGAUGAGAAAUAAAAGGCUCAACAUACACGGCUCAAAUUGGCAAUCUAAUGAUAUCAUUUUUCUUUGGGAAACAUGGUUAUUUAGGCCAUAGUGGUAAACCUAAUGCCUUUAUCAUUUCCAAGUUCAUGCAAUCAAUGACAAACAUUUCGAAAGAUCGUUACGCAAGUUCUAGAGAUGUAUCUCACAUAAGUUCAUCACACAUGAAAGAAUAGGAGUGUAUGAAAAAUGCACACACUUUCAAUAGGCUCAAAAACUCACAUAGGAUGUAUAUGGUCACUAAAUUCACAUAUGAAGCUUUAAGUCAUGUUUUAGUUUCACAUCAACAAGGCUAUGUGCAUUUGGUUUUUCAAAGAUGAUCAAACAUGUACAAAACUAACAAGAGAAUUAGGAAUUUCACAAAACACAUGUUAACUAAGUUCUUGAUGAUCAUGGUUCAAAUUUGAUCCAAUUAUAUCAUUGGGUCGGGAAACUAACAAAAAUCUAAUUCAUAACAAUAAGGGAAACAAGACAAUAUUUUUGGAUUUUUUAAAUUUUCCGAUUUUUUUAAAUUUUUUUUUUUUUUUUAAAGAAAACAAAACUAAUUAAGAAAACAAAAAGCAACAACACAGAAACAAAUGAAACCAAUUCGUAGUCGAAGGCACAAAAAAUUUUAAUUUGGUCAUUUUUUUUUUUAUACUCUUUACCCCCAAACUUAAACUGGACAUUGUCCCCAAUGUCAGAAAACACUAUAAUGCAAAUAAAAAUAAAAUAAAUAAAUAAUAAGAAACAAAAUAAAACAAUUGGACUGAAAACUUCCCUAAAUUGCAGUAAAAUCAAGCGAUGACCCUCAAGCUAAAAUUCUGCAAUCAACUUCAAGGGUGGAAAUAACCAAAAGUUCCUGCAAAGAAAAGAAAUAAUUCAGUUAAGUAACACAAGAAAAUAUAAAAAAAAUUGCAAACGAAAAAUUGAAAAUCACGAUAAAAGACAAUGAAUAGAACUAAUAAGUGAUCAUUGGUCGUGCUUGUUGACUUUCCACAGCUUUCCUCUUGAACUGGGUGACACUUAGCUUUUUACUUGCAAGUGAUGAUUUGAUGAUAUUGUACGGCGAGGCUUUGCUCUUUGGGAAUGUUGCAGUUCCUUAUUUGUUCUCCAAGCAGAUGUGGCAGCUUCUCUUGUUCUUCAUCUCAGACUCCUUCCGCUAGGAUGAUUGUGCAAGUUGCAUUCUUCUCUGGUUGUUUCUUCUGUACGUUGUCUCCACAUGCUGCUGGUGUCAUUUUCGCUUGCCUUAUCUGUUCUUCAGGUAGAUGUGGCAGCUUCUUUGGAAGUACAUCAGCAGUGGAAGACGAGUACUCGAGAGCAAUUUCUCCAUGUCCUGCAGGUUAGAACAAAGACAAGGAAAAGGACAUGGAGAAUGCAUGAUAUGAGAUACUCUUGCUUUCAACCUUUAUGAUAUGAAAUACUUUUGCUCUGGAUGGGUUGUUAGCAGGGGUAUCCCAGGGAAUGAGGAAUACAAAGUGACUCGAGAGGGUUCUUUGGGAAUGCAUUCUCGGAGAUGAAGAAGUGCUGAGAGGGUGUGCCUUUGCUGUGGAAGGCGAAGGUAAAUACUUAUAGGACUUUUCUUCACAACCGGAACUAUUCUCUCACUCAUUGUCGGCAGCCGGUGGAUGGAUGAAUAGUACAAAUUACGCGCUUUCUGACAAAGCUGCCAAUUGUAUGUGACGAGUGACGACACGUCUGGACAAAUUGAUCUUUUGACAUCCGGGGUUCGGCUCGUGGUUUCUGAGCAAGCCCAUUUUUUUAGAAAUGAAACGCCUCUUUUGAGAAAAGAAUCCGGCUUUUGAGAAAGGAAACUCCUCUUUUGAGAAAAGAAUCAGGCGUUUGAGAACGGAGCCCCGACUCUUCGAUUUGCGAGAGGACGCUUCUCUGAGGAGCGCCUCUCCGAUUUCUUCUUUUUAUAGAGGCACUAAUUGUGUUCCACAACACACUUGAGCUCCCUCUUGUAAACACUCCCUUCUUGCAAUUUCCAAAAUCUUAAUCAUUCCGACUCUCUUCUUUCUUCACCACCUCUGAAAAAUGUCUGGCCCUUCUGAUCGUCGUUUUGACUUGAACAUUGGUGAAGAGGCAGCUCCGCCUUCACCAGACAACAUAUGGCGGCCAUCCUUCAUAUCCCCUACCGGUCCUCUUACCGUUGGGGAUUCGGUGAUGAAAAAUGACAUGACCGCUGCGGUGGUGGCCCGGAACCUUGUCACCCCCAGAGAUAACAGACUGCUUGCUAGACGGUCCGAUGAAUUGGCGGUUAAGGAGUCUCUGGCUCUUAGCGUGCAGUGUGCGGGUUCUGUAUCCAACAUGGCCCAACGCCUAUUUGCUCGAACCCGUCACGUUGAAUCGUUGGUGGCUGAAAUACAGAGUCUCAAAGAGGAGAUUAGAGGACUCAAGCAUGAAAAUAAACAAUUGCACAAGCUUGCACACAAUUAUGCCACAAACAUGAAGAGGAAAAUUGACCAGCUGCAAGACACUGAUGGUCAAAUUUUACUUGAUCAUCGGAGGUUUGUGGGUUUGUUCCAACCGCAUCUUCCUUCGUCUUCUGGGGCGGCACCCCGUAGUGAAGCUCCAACUGAUCAACCUCUGAUACCUCCUCUUUCCGUGGCCCCGCCGACUGCUGAAGCUCCGCCGACUACUGAAGCACCACCUGACCAAUGAAUGCUAUUAGUUUACACAUCAUUGUAAAAAAUGUUUAUUUCUAUUUUUUAUUUUUUAUUUUUUUAGGUGUGUUUUGUUUUGUUUUGUUUUUUUUUUUUUUUUUUUUUUUUUUUUUUUUUUUUUUUUUUUUUAAAUCAAUGUAAAAUAUGUAAAUCAAUGUAAAAAAACUUUGUUUAACCUUCCCCUACACUUAAACUAAAUAACACAAACUCACAUAAAUCAACCAAAUAACACAACUAACUGAACAAAACAAAAUGAAAGCAGUAAAGAUAAGGGUGUAAGAAUGCAAAUCUGAUUUGGUUAGCGAUUCCAAAGUCUCCCUUCGUUGAAUGCUUGGGUUGCCUCCCAAGAAGCGCUUGAUUUAACGUCUUUAGCCGGACGAAUCUUUCCUUUAAACUCCCCUCGGCUCCAAAGCAUGGAAUUUAUCUUUUAAUGGGAGGUGAUACUUGAAAUGAUUCGGCAAUGGUUUAAAUUCAAGAGUGGGUGCCUGAAUCAUCAAAAUCAGAAACAUGUUAGUAUAAAUUAAAAUUAGAAUUGGAGAAGAUGGCUUACUUUCUUUUUCUGACACAAACUCAAUGACAAACACCACAUCUGUGAACAUUUUCGGGACUUUGAACUUGGCCAGGUUUACUAUGAUGGUUGUGGCUUGUCCCGUGUCAUCAAACUCAACUGCUUUGGGCUUGAUUGUCUCAUGCACAGCCUCUUGGAUGUAUUCUUGAUAUGCUUCAACCACUUCAUUCUCUUGAAUCCCUUUUCUUGGCGUGCAAGGUUCUUUGAACGUUUCAAUACCAUCGGGAACUUGUUUUGGUGCACCAAGAAUUGGGAUAUCACUUUGCACCUUUGGAAGAGCUUCCACAAUGUCUUUUUCACUCUCUUUGAUAUUUGGAAUAAAAAACAGCAAGAAUUCUUCUAAACUGCCCAGGUCGUCCUCCUCCUCUUCUGCUUGCAGCAGCAAUUCAUCCAUGUUCGGGUUGUGUUUGGAUGGUUCUGGGACAGCUUCAUCCUUCAUGUCACCUUCCAAAGUGAUGGCUUCAUCGAUUUCACUUUCUGCCUUUGAAUUUGCAAUGUUUGAGUUGGAAAGUUCACUUUGAUCUCGAAUCUGUGCCAUGAAUUCCACAAUCUGCCCAACUUGCAUUUCCAAUUCGUCCACUCUUUUGACUCGGUCUUGCAUCUCCUGGUUUUGAUUUUCUACUCCCUGAUUCAAAGAGGUGAGUAACUUAUUAAGUGUAUCAUUAUCCAAGGAUGUACCUGAAUUGAAUUGGGUUGAUUGUUGUGGUGGCUGUGACGGUUCAUAUGGCCACUGAUAGAACUCUUCUGAUGGCGGCAAUUGUUCUUCUUUUCGUAAACCCUGCGCCACAGAAAUUAGUCCUUCAAGAAUUUCAUUAUAAUUCAUGGGCAUACUUUGAUUUGAUUGGAAUUGUUGUGGGGAAUGCUGUGGUGGUGGCUGCAUAGGUCUUGAAUAGAACUUGUCUUGCUGCCAAUAUCCACCUUGUUGAAAUUGUUGAGGUUCAUCCCACAUAUAAUUUGAAUGAUCUCUCCAAGCCGAAUUGUAAGCGUUGGAAAACAUGUUGUUGCUUGGUUGAUCAUAGCCUUGAUAACCCCAAGCAUCUUCAUUGGCAGAAAAUUGAGGACUUUGAUAUCCUUGCCCAUAGGGCACAUCAAGUGUAGGGACACUUGGCAUUGUGGUCCGUUCGGCAUUAUGAGUCAAUUGAGCAGUGAGUUGUGCCAAUUGAGCUUGAAUGGUCGCAAGUGCCAUGUCUCGCUCCAUUUGUACCUAAAAUCAAAGAAAGAAAAAUAAAUCAAAUAUCAAAAGUAAAAUACACAAACACCAAUAUAAACAUAAACAAAAACAAAAAUAAAGGGAUUAGCAAAGUUGCUAAUCCCCGGCAACGGCGCCAAAAUUUGAUGCGUAAAAUUACUUAACACACAAAUUAAACCCUCUUUUUGACAAUUGUAGUAUAGAUGUAAGUAGGGUAUCGUUCUAGGCCGGGGAUUAGGAGGGAUUGCUAAUCUAUUCUAAAUUAAUUUAAAAAUAUAUUAAACAAGACUCAAGGACACAAAACUAGGCUAAAAACUCUAAUAACUCGAAACACACUUAGGAUGACUCAAAAUAAUGAAAACAAUCAAAUUAGACACUAGGAACUGCAAUGGACGGAAAUUGAAUUAAAAGACUAACAACAAUGAAAACUAACUAGAUAAUAUAAUUUAAUAAUGGGGGGUUUGGUUUUGACGAGAAGUAAAUUAAACUUAAAUAAAUUACAGAAUUGACAAAAACAUGAAAUUAAGGUGAAAUGAUAGGUGACGGACUAGCUAGAGGGUUCUUCUCCACACAUGACACAUAUGCAACCUAAAUUGAUUUUCAGUUGUUCUUUCAAUAAAUU
rnacentral:lncRNA from 1 species